UACAGAGGUCCCAAGCGUUGUUCGGAUUCACUGGGCGUAAAGGGUGCGUAGGUGGUUGGGCAAGUCUGAUGUGAAAUCUCCGGGCUUAACCCGGAAAUGGCAUUGGAAACUGCUCGGCUAGAGUGUUGGAGGGGGGACUGGAAUUCUCGGUGUAGCAGUGAAAUGCGUAGAUAUCGUAAGGAAGACCAGUGGCGAAGGCGGGUCUCUGGACAGUUCCUGACGCUGAGGCACGAAGGCCAGGGGAGCAAACGGG
rnacentral:rRNA from 1 species